AACGAACGCUGGCGGCAUGCCUAACACAUGCAAGUCGAACGAAGCCUUCGGGCUUAGUGGCGCACGGGUGCGUAACGCGUGGGAAUCUGCCCUAGGGUGCGGAAUAACUCGGAGAAAUCCGUGCUAAUACCGCAUAAUGUCUUCGGACCAAAGAUUUAUUGCCCUGGGAUGAGCCCGCGUAGGAUUAGCUAGUUGGUGAGGUAAAGGCUCACCAAGGCGACGAUCCUUAGCUGGUCUGAGAGGAUGAUCAGCCACACUGGGACUGAGACACGGCCCAGACUCCUACGGGAGGCAGCAGUGGGGAAUAUUGGACAAUGGGCGAAAGCCUGAUCCAGCAAUGCCGCGUGAGUGAUGAAGGCCUUAGGGUUGUAAAGCUCUUUUACCCGGGAUGAUAAUGACAGUACCGGGAGAAUAAGCUCCGGCUAACUCCGUGCCAGCAGCCGCGGUAAUGUCUGUACU
rnacentral:rRNA from 1 species